GCCGGGCGUGGCGGAGGGAUGUACUCCGUCGCGGGCUGACCUCCCGCCGGGCGGCGGCCGGUCCGGCCGGCUGCCCGUCC
rnacentral:tRNA from 1 species